GAAACAGUCACUUAGAGGACGUACUGACGCGGUGCUAGUAAUCCCAAAGCUCUUCUAUCCACCUGUGAUGCACACACACAGCCUUUUCGUAUCAACUGCCGCCCUGCCUCGUCUCGAGCCCCUGCCAGCACUGAGGACCAGCUACCAGACAGAUCAUUGCUUGGCCAAAGAGCCAGACUAAGGAUUGAUGAAGGGUGUCGAGGUAAUAUCUGAUGAAAAGUAUGCAGCGACGUGAGGAUUAUCAAGAAUACGCGGGCGAGGAGCAGAACAUAGCCUGUCACCGGAAGGAAAACGUAUAGGAUGAAGAACAUGGUGUACAGUGGAUGUAAAACAGCAUCACACCCUUAGGAGUAUAAAAACUUGAAAGGGGUAAUGAGGAAGCAGUGUAAUACCAUCUUGAUCAUUAAGUAGUGAUGGACGAGGCUACGGUCACCCAACACAAAUCGUUAUCGUUGAUAUCAGAUAGGCACUCGGCAGCCGGUUCUAUGUCCUGACGCAUUUCCGGCUGACUGGGCUGCUAUUGCCUCACUCCUGCCAGCACCCGCACCACCCGCGCCUGUCUGCUGUAUGACGCACUUAACUGCCUCAGACUUGUCAAAUGCAUGCAGCUAUAUUAACCUUUCGACCGCUAAUAAUAAUAUGGACUGCAUUAUCAAAAGGUUUCGUCGUCUUAUCUUUUCUGACUACUUAUUAACAGCCUUUAGUGAAAGUUAUUGGGUAUUCUCAAGGAUGUUUUCAUGGUUUUACUGAGAGUUUGAUAGUGAUUCCGCAUCACCAAGGAGGAAAAUACAUAGCGAGAAAUCAACUAUUCAUGUAUGUGGGUUUUGAAAAGUAAUUUUAAUGAAAGCACAAAAUGUUUAAGAAUGCCGGCCAAUGACACUUAUUUCGUCCAAGUCGCUGUACAUGAUUAUACUAAACAAAAAUAGAAAAAAUAAUAUUAUGUUCUAGAAGUUUUUGAAGACUAUUGCUCUCGGUGGUCUUAAGAAAAAAAAAGAGAGAAAAAAAAAAUCAUACUUUAAACCUGAACUGGAUAAUUUUAUUGCACUUGAGUAGAGAUAGUUAGAGAUCUAGAAAUGAUGAUGAUAUAAAUCCAAUAGAAUGUAGGAAAAUGAUGCUCAAAGAAAGGAUUAUCUGUGUUACAUUUUUCUUUAUAUCAGCAUUAGUCCCCCAUCGCUCUUUCCAAGCUCCGUGUUUAUGUUCCAGGAGCAACUACAGUAAACAUAUAACGCUCUAAUUUAGUUUUGUUAUACCAACCCUGACCACAGUAAGAAAUCACGCCACAAGUAAACAAGAAAAUAUAUGGGAAAAUGCAGAAUACAUGGUAAAAAAAAAAAGAACCCCACGACGACGAAAAAAGCCACUAGGAGCUCACAUCUACACAUUUACUUUUAUUUUUUUCUGACUGGUCACUCACAUCCUAGCCUAGCUCUGUUCCAUUAUAAGUAUGGCUUAACGUAUAAGGAGCUCCGUAUAUGGUAAAACAAGGUAUAUCAAACAAAUUAUACUCAUAGGCACAGUCAUCUAUCCCCUAGGCACUGAAUAUUUUCUUAACUUGACAAAUUCAACCUUGAUUUUUUUUUUAAACCCUGAUAUUUUUCCCCACGAGCAUCUCUCCUUUUAGACAGUUUCUUCUUUGAAUAUGUUUAUCUUUUCUCGGAUAUAUUUUAUAGUACUGUGUGAUAAAAAACUAAAUCAAGUAUGAUUAUAGAAACCAUUGUUGUUCAUAUUGAAGGACUAGUUAGGUUAGAUAAAGAGAGAGUGUGUGCGUGUGUGUGUGUGUGUGUGUGUGUGUGUGUGUGACCAGCAGGAUAACGAUGUUUAGGAAUUUAAUAACUUAGAUUAAGUUAACGCUUGAAAAAU